AUGGUCGAGCUGGCAAACAACGAAUGUCUGGCUCCACGAAUAAGCGUCGGAGACGAGGAGCUCCUCAACCAUGCUGAUGCAACCAAGGCGUGCUGCUUCUCCAUGACCGCGGCAGCCAUGGUGUUGGUGAAGGUACCCACCAUCUCCGCUAAUAAUGAAUCACAUUUAUUAGCCAAGUAUGGAGUUUUGCCAUCUCCUAGCACACCAGCGGGGGAACGGGGGAUCGAGUCUUGCAAGCGGGAACUGCUACACAUUGCUCAGCAAGAACAUAAUGAUGACACCAACCUGGAACGCAUUCCUGAAAGACAGCCGACGUUUGCAUCAGAAUCAGGCAGCUGUAGUUAUGAAACAACAUAUCCAAGCUACAGUUUCAUAUGCUUUAGUAUUUACUACUGUACUAGUCAUUACUCACUACCAAUUAUACACGCUUCCAUAACUUGGAUGGAGUAG
rnacentral:rRNA from 1 species